rnacentral:rRNA from 1 species
UACAUGUGGGGCAAGCGUUGUCCGGAAUUAUUGGGCGUAAAGAGCUCGUAGGCGGUGUGUCGCGUCGGCCGUGAAAACCUGGGGCUUAACUCUGGGCGUGCGGUCGAUACGGGCAUCACUGGAGUUCGGCAGGGGAGACUGGAAUUCCUGGUGUAGCGGUGAAAUGCGCAGAUAUCAGGAGGAACACCGGUGGCGAAGGCGGGUCUCUGGGCCGAUACUGACGCUGAGGAGCGAAAGCAUGGGUAGCGAACAGG